UACAGGGGGUGCAAACGUUGCUCGGAAUCAUUGGGCGUAAAGCGCACGUAGGCGGUUCGUUAUGUCGGAUGUGAAAGCCCUUGGCUUAACCGAGGAAGUGCAUCCGAAACUGGCGAGCUAGAGUACGAAAGAGGAUCGCGGAAUUCCCGGUGUAGAGGUGAAAUUCGUAGAUAUUCGCAAGAACACCAGUGGCGAAGGCGGCUCACUGGCCCGAUACUGACGCUGAGGCACGAAAGCGUGGGGAGCAAACAGG
rnacentral:rRNA from 1 species